GAUGAACGCUGGCGGCGUGCCUAAUACAUGCAAGUCGAGCGAACGGACGAGAAGCUUGCUUCUCUGAUGUUAGCGGCGGACGGGUGAGUAACACGUGGAUAACCUACCUAUAAGACUGGGAUAACUUCGGGAAACCGGAGCUAAUACCGGAUAAUAUUUUGAACCGCAUGGUUCAAAAGUGAAAGACGGUCUUGCUGUCACUUAUAGAUGGAUCCGCGCUGCAUUAGCUAGUUGGUAAGGUAACGGCUUACCAAGGCAACGAUGCAUAGCCGACCUGAGAGGGUGAUCGGCCACACUGGAACUGAGACACGGUCCAGACUCCUACGGGAGGCAGCAGUAGGGAAUCUUCCGCAAUGGGCGAAAGCCUGACGGAGCAACGCCGCGUGAGUGAUGAAGGUCUUCGGAUCGUAAAACUCUGUUAUUAGGGAAGAACAUAUGUGUAAGUAACUGUGCACAUCUUGACGGUACCUAAUCAGAAAGCCACGGCUAACUACGUGCCAGCAGCCGCGGUAAUACGUAGGUGGCAAGCGUUAUCCGGAAUUAUUGGGCGUAAAGCGCGCGUAGGCGGUUUUUUAAGUCUGAUGUGAAAGCCUACGGCUCAACCGUGGAGGGUCAUUGGAAACUGGAAAACUUGAGUGCAGAAGAGGAAAGUGGAAUUCCAUGUGUAGCGGUGAAAUGCGCAGAGAUAUGGAGGAACACCAGUGGCGAAGGCGACUUUCUGGUCUGUAACUGACGCUGAUGUGCGAAAGCGUGGGGAUCAAACAGGAUUAGAUACCCUGGUAGUCCACGCCGUAAACGAUGAGUGCUAAGUGUUAGGGGGUUUCCGCCCCUUAGUGCUGCAGCUAACGCAUUAAGCACUCCGCCUGGGGAGUACGACCGCAAGGUUGAAACUCAAAGGAAUUGACGGGGACCCGCACAAGCGGUGGAGCAUGUGGUUUAAUUCGAAGCAACGCGAAGAACCUUACCAAAUCUUGACAUCCUUUGACAACUCUAGAGAUAGAGCCUUCCCCUUCGGGGGACAAAGUGACAGGUGGUGCAUGGUUGUCGUCAGCUCGUGUCGUGAGAUGUUGGGUUAAGUCCCGCAACGAGCGCAACCCUUAAGCUUAGUUGCCAUCAUUAAGUUGGGCACUCUAAGUUGACUGCCGGUGACAAACCGGAGGAAGGUGGGGAUGACGUCAAAUCAUCAUGCCCCUUAUGAUUUGGGCUACACACGUGCUACAAUGGACAAUACAAAGGGCAGCGAAACCGCGAGGUCAAGCAAAUCCCAUAAAGUUGUUCUCAGUUCGGAUUGUAGUCUGCAACUCGACUACAUGAAGCUGGAAUCGCUAGUAAUCGUAGAUCAGCAUGCUACGGUGAAUACGUUCCCGGGUCU
rnacentral:rRNA from 1 species